rnacentral:lncRNA from 1 species
UCUACUACUAUUAAAGAAACUCAUUCGCUCAUUAACAUUAUGACCUCCGCCAUCUAAAAACCAACAACCUUUUUAUCUUUCUCUCAUCACCUUAAAUGAUGGUUUCUCUCCUCACCGGGAGAAGACCCAAACCAAGAUCGACUCUUUUUCACCUAUAGUUCUAGCCAUUUCCCAUAAGCCUUGCAACUUUUCCACUUCUAGAAGGCCAUUUAUCUUCCUCAAUGGCAACCUAAGAAAAAAGAGAAAAAACACUGAGGGGAAAUAGACAAAACAAACCAAGAAAAAAAACAAAUUGCUUGUGUUGGUUUUCUUUUGCAGGUAUCCUUGAGAUUCACCGCUAGUAUAGAAAGAAAAGGGAGAAUAAGCUUGUUCCAGAUCUGCCUGUUUCUUUCUCUUCGAGUAACGACGGCGCGUGGGUCCACAUAUUAAGCAUAAGCGACGCCAUUGUUCAUGCAAUUCUAGAAUCUUCCAGUGUGAUUUCUGAAUUUCCAACAACUUUUACAAAUUAUUUCCAACCUUUGAAGGAUCAUUUUGUAAAUUUUGAAUGUUUAAUGUGUGUGUUUGAAUUAUUGUUAGAUUUUAAAGUUUGAUGAUUUGUAAACAUGUGAUUAUAGGGUGUGAGUAAAAUAGUGAAAAAAGAGUGUGUGCGUGAUUUUUCUUUUCUUUUCAUUUUGUGUUGAAUAAAUGAUAAAAAUUAACCAAAAUUUUUUAAUUGCAUAUGGCAAAGUUUCUUUAAAAAAUAAUCAUAUUUUGCAUUUUUUUAUCAAAGAAUUAUAAUACAAAAAAAUAGAUGAAAGAAAAAAGAGAAAAAAACAAAAAUAUUUUCAUGAUUUAGCAUUUUUGAAAAUACUAAAAUAUUUCAAAAAUAGUGUUAAAAAAUAAUUUUAUGUUUUGCAUACAUCAUAGACUUAACAACAAAUUUAUUAAGCCUAUGGGGAACUUGGUUUAAUUUUGAAAAUAUAAAAAAAAUUAUUUAUUUUAGUAUUAAGAAUUUUGAACUUAUUCGUAAAAUUAUUUCUU